GCUGAAACGCAGUCUGAGUCUCUCUGUGCCGUGCCCUCCGCGGGAGAUCGCCGGGACCUCGAGGCUUGUACAACACGUCUGUGAGAAGGACAAGAAAACAAAGUCAAGUCUGAGGGUCAGCUUCCGGGAACCAUUCAGCUAGACACGUGGACCUUCCGGCUUACCCAGGGCUGACGCCUCUCCAGGUCUUCUGCGAGCGGAUCUAUCAGCACUGCCGACUGUUUCUGGGGGUACCCCAGCAUCUCGG